AUAGGGUCGGCCACCAGGCGACGACGGGUAGCCGGCCUGAGAGGGCGACCGGCCACACUGGGACUGAGACACGGCCCAGACUCCUACGGGAGGCAGCAGUGGGGAAUAUUGCGCAAUGGACGAAAGUCUGACGCAGCAACGCCGCGUGAGGGAACGAAGGCCCUAGGGUUGUAAACCUCUUUCAGCAGGGACGAAGCGAAAGUGACGGUACCUGCAGAAGAAGCACCGGCUAACUACGUGCCAGCAGCCGCGGCCGA
rnacentral:rRNA from 1 species